UCAUCAUAGCAAAUAGCAGCCUUUAAUCAGAAGCUCAGCCCAGAAUCUCCUUUUCGUGCAACAUGAUAUGAAUAUCAAUGUCAUGUAUGGAAGAUGCAAUUUCUUAUAAGGAUACUCAUAUGUAUGGAUUACAGAGGUGCAGAUGUAUCACGUAGACAUUUUUCUGAUUAUUACAAAAGUCAGUUUUUCCAUACAAAUUGUGCGAUCGCAUUAACAAAUUGGAUGCAUUGCUUUGAUCAAUUAAAGACAAAUUUCUGUCACAUGGAUUUAAAUUAUGUGGCUGACAGGAGAAAACGUUUGUUGUUAGGAAGCUAAAACAACAAACAGAGACAUAUAUAUAUUUUGCAGGUGAUGAAUGUUUAAUAAUACUUUUGAGCACUUAUUUCAAUCUGAGAGAGUUGUCCGGAACUAUUGGAACCCACAAUGUUCAUGUUCAAAAAACGAUCAUUAGGAAAUUCAGAAGAUACUUAUGAUGAAAAUUAUUUAAGGGAAACAAAACAUAGACGUGGAAUGAAGGAAUCUUUAAAUCAUUUGUCAGAAAUGCGAAUGAAAAAGAGAUACUGCAUUAAGUUUAUCUAAUCGCGAUUUAGAGGCCCUUCUCGAAGAUUUUAUAGUCCUACAACAAUUAUUAGAUCUUGAUCAAGUUGUAUUACAAAAAGUAUUGAACAAUAUUCCAAUGAAGAUUUCAAGAGAAAAAUAUAGUUGCGUGCUUCUAAUCGGAUUGGAUUUGAAGUUUAAAGACAGAAUAAAAACGCUGAAUUUUCGAAAAAAAAAAGAAAAUUUAUACAUAUAUGAAUAUUAUAAAUAAUAUAUUUAGUCUCUAAAAAGGAAAAUGUUUUUCAGAGAGAUAAAUACAAUAAUAUGAGUUAAAAGCAUA